rnacentral:lncRNA from 1 species
AAAUGAGCUUCCGUCCUGGAGAGUCAUUGGCAACAGACUUGGGACCAGCACUGGGACUUCUGUAGGAGACACAGCCCUAGUGACUCAAACACUUUGGGAAAUAGGCCAAAAUUAAGAGAGGAUCAUUAAUAAAACAGUGUCAAACAGGGCAGGACGGGCAAUCAGAUGGCAGGGAGCAUGGACAGAAAAGGGUCAGGAAAGAAUGUGCUAAUGUUCAUAUAUCACUUUUCUGAACAAGAUAAUCUUUUCAUUGUUUGUUGAAAAUGAUGAAUGGGGUGAAAGGGGCAAGUUAGUGUGGUGGAGAUUGAAAAAAGGAAAGAAAGAUUAAGAAAGAGAGGAAUAGAGAAAGUGAGGGAAAAAGCAAAGGAAAGGAGGGAAAGAAAGAGAAGUCAAGAAAGGAAGAAAGGAAGAGAAAAAAUAAAAGAGAAAGACAGAAAAGAUCAAUAAAAUUUAAAUAUUUAGGAGAAAAAAGUUCAGAAGGGUACACACACAAAGAGGGUAAUUUUGUUACUACUUUGUUCAAUUUAAUGUACAGUAAAAAGCUGUACAUGACAGAAAUUCAUGCAUUCAUUGACAAUUGUCUUAUCUUUGAAUAUGAAAAUGUUUGUGUUUAUUGAUGAUUAUUAAAUCAUCAUAAAGAAGAAAAUGAAGAAGUCACCUUCCUGCACAGCAAGGGGUAAAAAAGUGGGAGAGUGAAUGAAAUUUGCCAAAGACCUAAAUUAUAAUGAUCAGGGUCCCUCACAAACAGGUCAAUUACUCCAGUCACCCUUUGGAUGGCGCAAAGGCACCCAAGUCUGUCAUUUCCUAUUAUUAGUUAUAAUAACAGUGAUUAAAAUUUUCUCUUUUGUCACCACUUUUUCCCUCCUGAAGGAUCCUGAGCACAGUUUGCAAAUUGUGGAGGGGAAAGUCAAACAUCAUUCUGCAUCCAACCCAGUGGAGUAUGCAGGAAAACCACAUUCCUGUCUCUAGACCCAUCAGUGUUCAACAGGCCAUACUUUUCCUCCUGAAUCCUUAUUGUCCACUGAGAUUCUUGCUUUGGUACUCACCAGGUCACCAUUUUUGCUAGUUCUCCUUGGCCACUUGUACAGAGAUCUUCUCCAGGGUUCUGAAAAGAGGAGUGUAUUCUGUCCCCUGUGAGUGAUUCACAGAGUGUUCUAUGUUGACACAUUUUGCACAGGCUGUAAAAAGCUCU